rnacentral:rRNA from 1 species
AACGAACGCUGGCGGCAGGCUUAACACAUGCAAGUCGAACGCCCCGCAAGGGGAGUGGCAGACGGGUGAAUAACGCGUGGGAACAUACCCUUUUCUACGGAAUAGCUCUGGGAAACUGGAAUUAAUACCGUAUACGCCCUACGGGGGAAAGAUUUAUCGGGGAAGGAUUGGCCCGCGUUGGAUUAGCUAGUUGGUGGGGUAAAGGCCUACCAAGGCGACGAUCCAUAGCUGGUCUGAGAGGAUGAUCAGCCACAUUGGGACUGAGACACGGCCCAAACUCCUACGGGAGGCAGCAGUGGGGAAUAUUGGACAAUGGGCGCAAGCCUGAUCCAGCCAUGCCGCGUGAGUGAUGAAGGCCUUAGGGUUGUAAAGCUCUUUCACCGAUGAAGAUAAUGACGGUAGUCGGAGAAGAAGCCCCGGCUAACUUCGUG